GCCGGGUGCGGUGGCGCGUGCCUGUAAUCCAAGUUACUUGGAGGCUGAGACUGGUGGAUCGUUUGAGCUCAGGAUCUUGAGCUGCAGUGGACUAUGUUGAUCGGGUGUCCCAAUAAGUUCGUAUGAUAUGGUGCUCCUGGGGAGCCCGGACCACCAGGUCGUCUAAGGAGGGGUGCACCGGCCCAGGUCGGAAACGGAGCAGGCCAAGCCCCCGUGCCGCUCAGUAGUGGGAUCGCGCCUGUGAAUAGAGGCUGUAGUGAAGCCUGAGUAAUACAGCGGGACCCAGUCUUUU
rnacentral:SRP_RNA from 1 species